GGAGUGGUGAGAGUGGGCACCCUUGAUCAUUCCUGAUCUUAGAGGAAAAGCUUUCAACCUUUCACCAUUGAGGAUGAUGUCAGGCGUGGGCUUUGCUCCUUUGUGCCCCUCUUGUUCUGCCUUCUCUGGUUUUAAUUAAGCUUUUCAUAUGGUUCCCUUAUUCCCUCUCUUAGCAUAUUGCUUAUACUUCUUUUUCUCGUUCUUUUACUUGUUCUUAGUGGUUUCCCUAGAGUUUACAAUAUACGCUUUUACUAAUCAAGUCUACCUGCAAAUAACACUGUAUGGCUUCUUGUGUAGUGUGGGCACCUUGUAACAGAGUAUGCCCAAUUCCUCCCUCCCGUUGCUUGGGACGCUUCUGUCCAUCAUUUCACUUAUCCAUAUGCUAUAAUCACCCAAUAUGUUGUUACUAUUAUCUUUUUAGAAAACAGUUAUGUUUUAGAUGAUACAAGAAUAAGACAUGGAAGAUGCUAUUUACGUCCAUUUAAUACUUCACUGACCCCCUUCCUUUCUUUAGGUAGACCCAAGUUUCUGGCCUAUAUGAUUUUCCUUCUGCCUGAAGAACGUCUCUUAGCAUUUCUUGGAAGGCAGGUUUCCUGGCGAUUAAUUUGCUCAACUUUUAUUUGUCUGAGAAACUAUUUAUUCCUUUUUCACUUUUGAAUGAUAAUUAUCUGGCAGUAGAAUUCCAGAUUAUGACUACAGAGGAUUCUGAUUCAGGGAGGCAGAUCUCGGUUUUGACACUCUGGAUUCCACUCUUGCGCCAGAGUUUACGUGGUGGUUUGCCCUGCCAGCUCAGUUCUGUGAGGAGUCUAAAAUAUAGGUGGAUUCAGUUUUUCCAGCGUUUUCUUGUUUUAAGGAUGGGAUUGGUGAUCUCUGCCCUCUCUAUAUGUUGGGGCUGAAACCAGAAGCUUUAUUUGUGACCAUUUUUGAAAUAUGCCACAAUCAGUAUAAGCCUAUGAGUUUCAAAUAUCAUGAUUUUCUUUAAUUGAAGUACAGCACAGAAAGUGAAGAGUGCACAAACCAUAAGAGACAACAACUUGAUGACUUUUCACAAAGUGAACACAUACCUGUAACCACCACCAAGACCAAGAUCUGGAACAUUACUGGAGCCUCAGAAACCCACGUUAUGCCCCUGUCUAGGUGUUUCACGUGAAGGCUAACCACUAUUCUGACCUACGUCAGCAUAAGGGUUUCUUGUUUUUGUUUUUGUUGUUUUGCCUCUUCUUAAACUUUAUAUAAAUAGAAUUAUCAGUCACGUAUGUUUUUAUGCCUGGCUUCUUUUGCUCAGUGUUCUGCUAUUGAUAUCUGCCCAUGUUGUUGCACGUAGGGGUAUUUUCUUGUUUCAUGUCUGUAUCGUGUUCUAUGAUAUGAAUAUAUCACACUGUAUUCAUUCAUUCAACUGUUGAUAGAUGUUCAUAUUGCUUGCAGUUGGUGACUACCAUCAAUAAUGAUGCUGUGAACGUUUUUAUUUGUGUGUCUGGAGAACAUGUUUGUAUUGGUGUUGCGUAUAUAGUUGGAUUGUGU
rnacentral:lncRNA from 1 species